AACACUUCGUAGAGCGAGCCUUUUGAGAAGGAGGACAAGGACGGGGAGGCGGAGGAGGACGAUGAGGAUGAGAUUGAGGGUGAGGAGGUGGAGGAGGACGUUGAGGAUGAGGGCGAGGAGGAGGACGAGGACAAGGACGAGGUUUUAUCGGGGACGGAGAUAUUCAUUUGGCGAAAGACGAGGCCGAGGGAGCAGAGGAGGAAGAUGAGGACAUCAAAAACAAGACCGGAAUUGCGAUGUGCAUAGUGGUAGGACUGUAACACCAGCACCAUAAUUAACAGCUUCCCUAAGCUCGACCAGUUAUCCAUUGCCUUCAAUUUCUUUAGGCAAAUUGAAGGUUGUUUGGCGAUAUUGAUUUUUUUCUACCGGAACUACUUUCUUCUUCUUAUAAUUAAUCAACCCGCCUAGGCAGUGCAGUUGACUGUGGACUUGAGUAUUGGUAAAUUGACUUAUGGUCCUACACCCUAAAUUCUACGAGGUGCUCUUUUUUCUUCCACUAUAAAGCCAAAUUAGACACAGUAAAUUGACUUGUGGUCCUACAUCCUAAAUUCCAGGAGGCGCCCUUUUUUUUCCACCUUAUCGCCAAAUUCUACGCGGUGUUUUAUGGUUCACACAAUGAUGAGAGAUUUUUCAGUUUAUAGGAACACAGUCCAGUACACUGUACACCACUUAUAAAACAACUUCAAGAGGGCUAGUUUGAAAAUAUCCUACCGCAAAAUUUGAUUUGGUUUGGACCAAAUUUUGAUUUAGAUGAAAACUAGCAAGAGUGUCCGCGCGUUGCUGCGGGUGUUUAAAAUGUUUUGAUAAUAUGUACAUACAGAAAACAUCAUUUAUUAAAGCUAGACUUCUAUACCUAAGAUAGAGGUUGACAGUGAUCGUAAUUAUCAAAAGUUAGCAGUGUCCAACUGCUCACUGUUCAAAAGAUAGAGAUGCUAUAAAAGCUUAAUUCAUGUACAUAAGUUCAUAGUAUCAUGUACUCAAAAUAAUCAUAGUAUCGAAAGAUUGGCAGUCUUCAACUGCUCAUUGUUCAAAUACGAAAAUAUACAUAUGUCCAUAUCAGAAGGUUGGCACCGCACAUCUGUUGUGUUUAUGUUUUUCCUGUUCAAUCUCUGGUCUUGCUUGUUUGGGAAUGGCCAUCCUUUUUCUUGGCCACCAUGCUGUUGAAUUGGUGCCUAUUCUUUUUUGCUUUGCCCAUGAUUUUUCUCUUGCUAUAUAUUACGAAUUGGAAUUAGUAAGAAUUCCAUAUAAAAAACUAAAUUUGUCAAUCUAUUUAACCAAGAAGUAUAAUCCAGCAAGGUUAUUUUCUCUUUGUUUUUAUCAAAAUGAAUUCCACUGUUCCCAUCUAUUUGCACAUCCCUUUAAAUAAUCCAAAAACACAAAAGAAAUAUAUCUUGAUCCGUACCAAUUAAUGAUUUCCCAUUUACUUAAGUCAAACGUAGCCAAUGAAUUGAUGAAGGAGCUAAAAAAGAGAGACAAAAAAAAAAAAAAUCUCUAUUAUUCAAUUAUAUGGAGAUUUACCUGAUUGUACAAAAGGUUUGAAAAUUACCGUAAAAUUUGAAAUAAGAGAUGAGAUGGAGUGGAAAUCACAUACCAGCAUCAGGCUUAAAUUUGUAGUGCUCAUCUAAGAGAGCAGUGAUAGUGUUGAUGAGAGUGUAGGGAGAGAAACACAAUGCAAAUUGUAAGAGUUUGAGAGAAACCGCUUGAGGGACACUGCAGAUUGAUCGUUGAGAUUUGAGAAACCGAGGAAGUUGCAAUUUGAGACGAACUGCUUUGCAUCAAACGUGGUGGAGUUUCUCUCCUCCACGUUUGAAUAGAAGAGGUAGUUUCAGAGCUGUCUACAAUUAGUCCUAUCAGGAGCUUCUGCACUGGUUGAUGUCUUGGUCUUUUCCUUAGUCGCAUAUGCAUUGUAGACUUGGGUAGAUGAAAAGUAGAAAGAAAAUAAAAAUAUAAAGUCAAAGUUACUACUUAACUAUCUAUGUUGAUUCAUGUCCCACGCAUAAUAAGAAUGGUGAAUCAUUUUUCAUCUCGUGCACUGAUUUGUCAUUGUCAUUCGAAUUCACAAGUCAAUUUACUCCGAAUUUCUUAGUUAUCACCAGGGAAAGAAAAGUUAUAAGCAAAAUUCUAUUUCUAGAUUUUCUCACUAAACUACCUGUUAAACCAUGGUAAAUCAAAAUGGGAAAAAAUUAUAUCUACCUUUGUCAAACCUCUUGGGAUUCAAGUCCACCCGACUCCACCCCAAUACUCAGUGGCGCCCCAGAAAUCUUGCACCUUCAGUAGCCAAGAUCAUGCAUGUAUCAGUAUGAAUACGGAAGAGAAAAUAAAUGCAAUUUAUUAGAAUAAAGAAUAUGGGAUCAACAAAGUUUGUCCCAACUUACAGCGAGGCCAAUAAACAGCAACUGAAGAUAAUUUUUCGUUUUGCUACAUGAGGGGGGCACCCAAAAAUCCAAACCUGUCGAUACGGCACAACUGAGGAUGCCAACUUUAUCCAACUGAGCAAGGGGCUUGAUCUUGGAAAGACGGCCAUAAUGAACAACAAUGUAUUCACUUAAGUAAAAGUGCCAAGACGGUGAUUGGUGAACGUUAUUUCCCAACUGGGUUAGUUUGGCUAUUCCUUUCUAUUGAAAAGGAGUUAGCUGUCUGCGUGAGUCACCACAUUUUGCUUCAUGGCAAAAAUUUGAGGGAUCAAUAGUGUAUGGCCCUGAAUCCCAAAAGGAAAAAAUAACUCAACUAAGUAUAUACAAAGGGUAAGAUCAACAACAUUCCAUAGAACAAUUAAACGCCACUCUCUCAGUUUCGAGUACAACUGCACUUUGUGAUUAAAAUUCACACAUGUUUCACAUAUGCUAAGAACUAAUGUUCCUUAGGUUUUUCAUCACGAACGACAUUUGCAAUCUACUUUUCGAUUUCAAACCUUAAUUAUUCAUUGCCCAUUAAGAAAUGACUAUAUUUCAAACCUUAAUUUUAUAAUCCAAUGGUUUAUUCCUUCACAUGGAUAUUUGAUAUUGAUUUUCAUUUUUUCUACCGGAACUACUUUCUUCUUCUUAUAAUUAAUAAACCCGCCUACGCGGCGCAGUUGACUGAAGACUUGAGUCUUGGUAAAUUGACUUGUGGUCCUACACCCUAAAUUCUACGAGGUGCUCUUUUUCUUCCACUAUAAUGCCAAAUUAUACACGGCGUUGACUUGUGGUUCUACACCCUAAAUUCUAUGAGGCGUCCUUUUUAUUCUACCUUAACGCCAAAUUCUACACGGUACCUUAUGGUUCACACAAUGAUGAGAGAUUUUUCAAUUUAUAGGAACAGUCCAGUACACUGUACACCACUUGUAAAACAACUUCAAGAGGGCUAGUUUGAAAAUAUCCUACUGCAAAAUUUGAUUUGGUUUGGACCAAAUUUUGAUUUAGAUGAAAGCUAGCAACAGUGCCUGCGCGUAAUGUUUUGAUAAUAUGUACAUACAGAAAACAUAAUUUAUUAAAGCUAGAUUUCUAUACCUAAGAUAGAGGUUGACAGUGAUCAUAAUUAUCAAAAGUUGGCAGUGUCCAAUUGCUCACUGUUCAAAAGAUAGAGAUGCUAUCUAUUAGAAUACGGAAGAGAAAAUAAAUGCAAUUUAUUAGAAUAAAGAAUAUGGGAUCAACAAAAUUUGUCCAAACUUACAGCAAGGCCAAUAAACAGCAACUGAAGAAAUUUUUUUGUUUUGCUACAUGAGAGCGGCACCCAAAAAUCCAAACCUGUCGAUACAGCACAACUGAGGAUGCAAACUUUAUCCAACUGAGCAAUGGGCUUGAUCUUGGAAAGAUGGCCAGAAUAAACAACAAUGUAUUCACUUAAGUAAAAGUGCCAAGACAGUGAUUGGUGAAAGUUACUUCCCAGCUGGGUUAGUUUUGCUAUUCCCUUCUAUUGAAAAGGAGUCAGCUGUCUGAGCGAGUCACCACAUUUUGCUUCAUGGCAAAAAAUUUGAGGGAUCAAUAGUGUAUGGCCCUGAAUCCCAAAAGGAAAAAAUAACUCAACUAAGUAUAUAUAAUAUUAAACAUAUAAAGGGUAAGAUCAACCACAUCCCAUAGGAGAACAAUUAAACGUCACUAUCUCAGUUUCGAGUACAACUGCACUUUGUGAUUAAAAUUCACACAUGUUUCACAUAUGCUAAGAACUAAUGUUCCUGUAGGUUUUUCAUCACGAAUGACAUUUGCAAUCUACUUUUCGAUUUCAAACCUUAAUUAUUCAUUGUCCAUUAAGAAAUGACUAUAUUGCCCGGAAACUCUACUCAUAGUUUAUAAAUCUGCAAUUUUCAAAGCUUAAGCAUCUUAAGCAUCUUAAUUGGAUUCCCUACAAUUUGGUGGAGGUUGAAUGGAUUUUUCCUCCCAUUAUACCCUCGGAAAAUAUAAAUAAUCAUUGGAGACUGAGCAACACACACUCAUAAACAUAAUGCAUACAGAAGAAUAAAAUUGACAGAAAACAGAUCAAUGCACAGAGAGAUAGAGGCAUAAAGAGAGAACUUACAUCAGCUGUGCUCUCAAAUACAUAUGGUAAUCUGCAUACGAAGAAACAUAAUACUGAAACAGUUAUAAAUCAUCCUAUUCAAAUAAAUCAAACGAAAUGCAUAAAGAUUACCUUAGUUUCUGAUUCUAUGAUUAUGUAUUUGACUCCACCUCCACGUUGUUCUUUGGUUGUCUCUUUUACUGAAUUAAGUAAUCGACUGAAUUACUUAAUUCAACUGAAUUUAAUUAGAGAGAUGAAAGCUUCGGUAUAAAAUAAUAUUUUAUGCUCUACACGCAUAGCAAAUCAUCAGUAACCUCCAAGAACCUAAUUGUACGAUAAACACUCUAGCAUUAACUACCCAAGAAUUAUAAUCAUGCUUAUUGCCAAAAAUGAUAAACAUGUUUACCUUGACUUCAUUUUUAAUGGCAUAUGUAAUAUACUUUCCAUCUGCAUUAAAAUAACCUACUUCGUUCUCCUCGUUAAUCAAGUUGAAAGGUUCUGUUUAAAUCCCAUCCACAACAAAGUCCUUGUAAUCCUGCCAAAAGAUACCACCAAUCAAUGGCUAUCGCUUCCAUUGAUCCAAUUAGAAGAAGUAUCCAACAAUCUCCUCGACUGAAAAAAUUCUUGCCAAUUUAGAAAAGAACUAUUCCAAAUUACGGAUGUACUCGAUUAAUUUAACCAAGAAUAUGCACGGCACCACCACUAUUAAGAAGCAUCAACAUACAAAGACAAAAGUUUCUACAAUCAGUUGUUAAAUUGCAAUCAAAAACAUGCAUAGAAAGAAUAAAAAUGAGAACAAAGAUGGCAAAACAAUUAACCACACAUGUUGUUUAUCCAAAAAUGCUGAGAGCUUAUGCUUCUGUGACACAACGAGCUUCCUGCAUCACAUAUACUAGAUCAAGUAGGCGUCAUGACAUAAAUUGAAAAGCAGACAAGAUCAAGAAGAUCCAAAAUUAUUGAUAUAUAAUUAUAGUAAAUAAUUGCACAUCAAAAACUCUAGAGGAAGAUAGAUGAAUCUCCAUAUCAAGAAACCAAAGAACAUGACACUACUAAGGACCGUUGCUUCACAUGCAUAUCUGCUACUAUUUUAAAACAAUUAUGUUAGAACAAGUAUAAGAGAGAGGACAAAGUACUACUGAACCGAAAAUGAAAAGGGGGAAAACCUGGAAUGCCAUGCAGUGCCGAAAUCACUACUUAGCAACAAAAGUGCCCUGCUAUGCUUCAUGACGUCACUUUCAAAACUAUUAUCCAAAGAUAAUGACACAUACAAAGACUUCUCAUCCCCAGAUACAUCUGAUCUGCUGUUAAGUGCCUUAUAUUGUCUACUUGCUGCCAUAAACGCAUGCUUAGCAGCCUCAUACAACCGAAAAAGAACUUGCGUUGAAAUCCCCAACUUAUGAUCCCUAUUCCAAAAAACUGAGUUGCCAGCAGCUGAGCGCAGCACCGUUGUCAUCAGAUGAGGGUGAGGAAUGGCCUGCCUCUUUAUUCAGCUUGGAAAACUGGGACGGGUGAAGAAAUCCCACUUCAUCUUUGGGUUCAAUCAAGAGGAAAGAACAAUAUAUAAGACGACGGCAUUACUACAUAUUCCAAAAAUAUAACUGAGAACCCUUCCAAAAUUAAAAAAAAAAAGAGAGCACCUCUACACAAAAUCAUAAUGCACCCACAAUUACACACACACACCAAAUUCAAAAACUUAGCAUAAGAAUAAGGCAUACUUGGACCGUUAUCGAAAUCCCAGCCUCAGUAACAGUAAUGAACUAACACUGAAUCCACGUUUUGAAUUUGAACUAACACUGAAUGGACAUUUUCCAAAAAAAUAUGAAUCCAAGUAAAAUCAAGCUGUUACUUUUACAUAUGCAUGGAUCAACUCAUGCGGGAUCAAAUAUCUGUACUUUUCGACACGGAAAUUACACUUUGUGAAGGUUCACCAACCAAGCACGAAUAAAACCUAUAUAUACAAAACUCUAGUGGCAUUUCACCGAACACAAAGUCUGCGUCUUUACUGAAAACAGAGAAGCUAAACCUGCAAUCACUGAUUAUCUACUAACAUACAAGUACGAAUUACUUACAUUUGGGGAUCGGAUUCCAAGAUACGUUCGAAUUGAUUCAGAAGAUCGACCGUGUUUGCUUCGGAACGACGCAGCUCCUCUCCUUCCAUAUUUUCUGUUUGUUUCCCGAGAAAAUCCAAGGGAAAAAGAAAACCCUAGGGAAAAUGACAGCUUUAUACGAUGUUGGAACAAAAUGGUAAAUUAAUUUAAAAAAGAACUACGUGGAAGUUUUUUAUUCUUUGUUGCAAUAAGUUGCAGGAAAAAGUAAUGAUGCUGGCCGUAGAUGAUCCAGUUUUGGGCCAAUGUCACACUGACACGUAUCCACCUUCUUCGACUCUUCUUCUCUUGUGUAAAAUUUUGGAGCUGCUAUGGCUAUUCUCUCUCUACAAAUCUCUCUCUCUCUCUCUUCUGAGCAUCAAUCGCCGAAGGAUUUUCUCUCAUUUUCCCUCACUUUCUCUCCCGUUUUCUCUCUCGCCAAACACUCCAGUUCCUCAAGGAUCUGAGGUUUCUUCCACUUCAAAUCUCACCUUUUUUUUUUCUCUUCGAAUCGGGCAAAAAGGCAUUGAUUUGAAACGAAUAUUAUAAUAGAAAGGAAAGAGCUUUGGGGGGAUUCGAAUUUCCGAAUCUAGGGUUCCGUGAUCUGUAUAUGCGUCCGAUGACUAUGGGAAUCGUGGUGGAAGCGGCGUCGUUUGACGCCGAGCUGUUGCAGCUCAAUGAGGUGUCCCCUUUGGCCCUCAAAUCGAAUCCGAGCUCAAUGAGGCAUUGAUUUGUAAUUAGUUGUUGGAAAUGCUAAAGUUUAUAUAUAUAUAUUUUUUAAUUAGGAUACCUAUGAUUUACAUACUACAUAUUGUUUCAUCUUUUCGGAUGCAUGACAGUUUUUUUCAUUUUCCCGACUUUAUGGUUGCAGGUGACACAACUGCUAACUGAAGCAAAGGCAGGUAGGCCCCUGAAUGUUCAGGGAAAUUCUUCUAGUCCACAUGCCACUGCAGGCAGUACUUUGCCUUCUAUGUUUCCAGCAGGCAGUGCACCACCACUGUCACCAAGAAGUUCAUCUGGAUCCCCUCGCAUUAUGAAACAGAGGAUCGGUCCUUCUCAUUUAGGUUCUCCCCUGAAAGUAGUUAGCGAAUCAGUUAAAGAAGUGAUACCUAUUAAACUAAACAUGGUAAAUACCAAUAUUAAACUAAACAUGGUAAAUACAAAAAAUAUAUAUGAUAAUAUUUGGGAAUUUCUUAUAUAUUCAUUAAUCUUCAAAGUGGAGUAUAUAUAGGAGUUACAAUUGGUAUUACAUAUGUACUUCACCAAUGUGGGAACAAUAAACUGCUAUUUACACUUUAACUAAUGUAUAACUCGCAACACUCCCCCUCAAGUUGGUGCAAAGAUGUCACGCAUGCCCAACUUGUCAAGCGAGUCGGAAACGCACUAUUAGACACAGCCUUAGUAAGAGCAUCAGCAAGUUGAUCUUCAGAUCUCACAAACGGAAACAUAAUAAUUCCAGCAUCCAAUUUUUCCUUAAUGAAAUGUCGAUCAAUCUCCACAUGUUUUGUUCGAUCAUGUUGCACUGGAUUAUGAGCAAUCUCAAUAGCAGCCUUGUUAUCAUAAUGAAGUUUCAUAGCACCUUUGUGUUUAAACUCAAGAUCUCUCAACAAUUUUUCCAACCACAACAACUCACAUACACCAUGAGACAUACCACGAAACUCAGCUUCUGCACUUGACUUAGCCACCACUUUUUGUUUCUUGCUUAUCCAAGUAACUAAAUUACCACCCACAAACAUAAAGUAUCCAGAUGUAGAUCGCCGAUCAGUGAUAGAAUCUGCCCAAUUUGCAUCUAUAUACCCUUCGACAUUCAAAUGAUCAUUCUUGGAGAAAACCAGGCAUCUGCCAGGAGCCAUCUUCAAGUACCUCAAAAUACGGGUUACUGCAUCCAUAUGAGCUUCACUAGGUGAGUGCAUAAACUGACUUACCACACUAACUGCAUAAGCAAUGUCAGGGCGAGUGUGAGACAAAUAAAUUAAUCUCACCACAAGCCUUUGAUACCGUUCCUUAUGAGUAGGAACUUGAUCUGGAAAUAAGCCCAGACGAUGAUUCUGCUCAAUCGGAGUAUCAACAGGUUUGCAAUCUAACAUACAUGUUUCAGCUAACAAAUCAAGAACAUACUUCCUUCCAAGAAAAUACUUCAAUUCACCCAAUUCUUUCAUCUCAAACUCAGUAGCUAGGUACUUUUGAAGGUGCUGUAUCUCUUUCUGAUCAUCACCAGUCACUAUCAUGUCAUCAACAUAAAUAAUCAAUGCAGUUAGCUUACCAUUUUGUCGCUUUAGAAACAAAGUAUGAUCUGAAUGACUUUGGAUAUACCCAAACUUCUUCAUUAAACUUGUAAACCUCCCAAACCAUGCUCUAGGAGAUUGUUUCAAACCAUACAAGGCUUUUCGUAACCUGCAUACAACACCUUUUUCAGGAGACGUUCCAAUACCAGGUGGGAGAUCCAUAUACACUUACUCCUUAAGAUCACCUUGAAGGAAAGCAUUCUUAACAUCAAACUGCAACAGAGGCCAAUCCUGGUUUGCUACUAAGGACAGAAGAACACGCACAAUAUUAAGUUUGGCAACAGGAGCAAAGGUCUCCUGAUAGUCCACCCCAUAGGUUUGAGUAUAAUCCUUAGCAACUAAUCUGGCUUUAUACCGAUCAAUAGAAACAUCUACUUUGUGCUUAAUAGUAAACACCCAUCUACAUCCAAUGACUUUCUUCCCAUUUGGUAAUGGAACCAAAUCCUAAGUAGAAUUCUUUUUCAAAGCUUCCAUCUCAACUUUCAUGGCAUUAACCCACUUAGGGUCAGACAAAGCAUCUUGCAAUUUUGUUGGAAUUGAUACACUAGAUAGCUGACAUAUGUAAGAUGCAUAUGGUUGGGACAAACGAUGAGUAGACACAUAAUUGUUGAUAGGAUAUUUGGCUUUAACAUGCAUAUCAGGCUCAUAUUGUACUUUAGGUUUUCCACGAUUAGCUCGUGGAGGCAACUGAUAAGUAGAAGAAUCGUCAGAAUUUACCUCAUGUAUGCCACCAUCUUAUACCAAACUGUUAGAAGAAUCAUCACUGGACGAACCAUCAUCAGACAACUCGUUAGACAUAUCAGCAGCAGGCAACCGAUCAUCAGAAGGUAAUUCAUCAGACAUACUAACAGGCAAUUUGCUGGGCACAUCUGAUUUGUCGUUAGUAGAAAUAGUUCCGGGAAUGACAGGUGACCGAUCACUAUCUAUAACCGACUGAUUAGUAUCACGCAACAUAAUAGGUUAUGUUCCCAACUCUGUCUGUAACACAUCAUCCAUAUCAUCUCUUCGAAUCUGCACUUCACUCCUCCUCUCCCCCUGAAGUGGAAAGUCGGAAGAGGGCUUUACAAAAUACGAAACUUCCUCUUGGAAGGUGACAUCCAUGGUAAUAUAAGUUUUUUGAGUCGGAGGAUGAUAACACUUAUAGCCUUUUUGAUUGUUAGCAUACCCAAUAAAGACACACCGGAGAGCACAUGCAUCAAGUUUACUCCGCUGAUGAGAGUAGACAUGCACAUACACAAUACACCAAAACACUUUCGGAGGAAGCUUUGAGACAGAAACAAGAGAAACAUGUUUUUGUAGCACAUCAAACGGUGUCUGAAAAUCAAGAACCCUACUUGGAACACGAUUGAUCAAAUACACAGCAGCCAAAACAACAUGACCCCACAAAUGAUUAGGAACACAUUUAUCCAACAUCAAGGAGCGAGCAACCUCCAUUAUUUGACGAUUCUUCCGUUCGGACACACCAUUUUGUUGGGGUGUAAACGGAGUAGUUGUCUGGUGAAUCAUACCAUGAUCACGGAAAAAACAUGCCAAAAUGUGAUUCACAUAUUCUCCUCCGUUAUCAGACCUAAAGACCUUAACUUUGGUCUGAAACUGAGUAGACACCAUUGUACAAAAUUCUUGAAGAAGUAACGGAACAUCACUCUUAUUUUUCAUCAAGAACACCCAAGUUACCCGAGUACAAUCAUCAAUAAAAGUAACAAACCAACAGAAUCCAUUAGAAGUAACUUUCGCAGGACCCCACACAUCAGAAUAUAUCAAAUCAAAUGACAAAGUAGCUGUAGAAUCACUUACAUGAAAUGAAGCACAAUGACUCUUAGCCAUGACACAUGUUUCACACUUGAACUCUGAAUCACUACAAGUGCGAAACAAAGAAGGAAAUAGAUGCUUCAUAUAACUGAAUGAUGGAUGUCCUAAUCGUCGAUGCCAUAACCAAAUUUGAUGUCUGUCAUCCACUUUAGCUCUUAAACUUGAUGAUUAUUUGAACCGGAAACAACAGUAUCCUCCAUAGUCAAGAUGUACAAACCCCCUAUCCUUUUACCAUAACUAAUUAUCUUCUAAGUUUGAAUAUCUUGAAAAUAACAAUACGUAGGGUAGAAGUGAGCAGAACAAUAUAAAGUAUCAAGAAGUUUUCCUACCGACAAAAGAUUGUACUUAACAUCAGGAACAAGUAAAGCACGAACCAGUGAUAAGGUUGGAGUCAGAGAGAUAGUGUCUUCACCCUUCACAGGGGAAAGUGCUCCAUUUGCACUAGUAAUAUACGGAUCACGAACAUAGUCACAUAACUCAUCAAACACUCUAGGGUCACUAGUCACAUGAUCAGUGGCCUCAGUAUCAAUUAUCCAUUUAUUUGUUCCACCAAGAUGCAUAACAACACUAUGAUUAUAUUGAGCCAUUGAACAAAAUCACGAACAAUAAAAGCACAAAAGAUACGCAACGGAAUGAAAACAAUUUAUCAGAAUACUGUAGCAAUCACUGUUCACGGCACUGUAGCAAAGACUAUUCACGGCAAUGUAGCAAUCACUGUUCACGGCACUGUAGAAGACCACAGUUCACGCACUAUAGCAAAGCACUGUACUGUAGCCCGACACUUUUUUUUUUUUUUUCCCACACGGAGGAAAUCACGAAAAAUGUGGGCACAAAAUUAAAGCACACAGGUCACCAAGAGCGAACUGCUCUGAUGCCAUAUUAAACUAAACAUGGUAAAUACCAAAAAUAUAUAUGAUAAUAUUUGGGAAUUUCUUAUAUAUCCAUUAAUCUCCAAAGUGGAGUAUAUAUAGGAGUUACAAUUGGUAUUACAUACGUACUUCACCAAUGUGGGACAAUAAACUAUUAUUUACACUUUAACUAAUGUAUAACUCGCAACAAUACCUCAGGUUUGACAAAUCCUAAUCCUUUUCGGCAAUAAGAGUGGCACUAUUUUUUAUUUCUUUUGUUUUGCGUUGUAUUUGUCAUUUGAACUAUCUAGCUGUAAUGGUUUUCUUUAAUUAGAGGGAAAGGUAGGUUAUUAUUUCUAACUUGGAUUUUGUACCACUUGCAGUUUUACUUUCUAAAUGGUCGCCCGCCUCCAAAUGAACUAAAAGAUCAAUGCUUAUUAGAAUCAAUCAGUUUUUCUCUGGUAACUCAGACGGACUGCAGAUUCAUGGUGAGAUAUACUUAAGAUAUGAGUUUGUGUUGUACAACUAGAAUUAGCUUUUAACUGUCUCCUUGGUCGUACCCAGUGCACAAGGCUCCCGCUUUACGCAGGGUCUGGGAGAGGUGAAUGUCGGCUAGCCUUACCCCCAUUUAUGGAGAGGCUGCUCCCAAGUCUCGAACCCGAGACCUACCGCUCAUGGGCGAAGGCACUUGCCAUCGCACCAAGUGCGACCUCUAACUGUCUCCUUGGUGUAUCAGAAUUUAAAUCAGUUGCUAAGGAUAUAUGCAAGCGGCCCUCAUUCUUCUCCAUAUCUCUUUUCAGAAAAAUUGAUGCUAAGAGCAGUUCCAGCGUUGGCUGGUGCUCGGGGGAAAGGCUAGUGAACAGGGCCAGAUAGCCCGACUGAAGUGCUCCAGCGUGUGGGAACUCGAGGGACAGGGCAAGACUGAGCAACAAGCCCGUGAGGAAUUGCUAGCCCGCGAGCCCGAGUGGAUGUGACGCCAGGGCUGACGUCAUCCUGGCGUCAGCCCAAUUAUAUAUAUAUUUUUGUCAGGCGCGUGCCCCUCACCUGCACGUGGGGGCGCGUCAGCCAACACCUUUUCAGGAGCCGGGCCCACGUCACAAUUUGCCAAUGUUACUGUUGGAAAGACACGUGGCUUCCCACGGUCCGUUUGAUCUCAAUGGUCUAUUGGUAAUAUUCACUUUUUGUCAUUGCUUGUGAAAGGGUGUAGUUUCAAAGUUGUUAUCCCCACCCCCUUUCAAUAUCUUUCCUAGCUGUGGUUUAUCUUAUGUAACCACAACUAUUUUCCUUUACUUUUAAAAUGUCUCGAUUCUUGUUCACCAACCCUAUUACCCCACUUUAAGGUGCAUGAAUCUUUCUCUCUGAAGUGGAUAAACAAUGCCCUUUAUAAGGGUUGAUUGCGGAGAAGGGGUCAAGUAGCUUUCCUGGAGGCGCUUUUUUUUUCUGAGCUGACUUGUAGUGAACUCUUGGUUUAACUAAUAUUGUUACCUCACCUUACUAUAAAUUCUGGGUGGCCCCUGCUCUAGUCAUCCGGACAAGAAAACGGUACAGCUUGAGGAGAAGCUUGAGAUAGAUAUCAUCGGACUUGGGGCGCUUCGUCUUCUUGCUUUUACCUCCUGCCACGAGAACAAUCUUCAUUGUUGUUGCUGGUGUUGAAGUUCGGUUGCUCGGGACGCCUUUCGUUGGGCCUUUAUUUGGCCAAUUCAUUGAUCAAAUAUGGGAUCCUGUACUGCCAUAUGGUUGAGCCAACGAUGAAAACAGUAGGAGAAAAAGAGUGAACCCUCCCCCCCCCCAAAAAAAAAAAGUCUUGUACCCAUGAGAAAGGCUUGUAAUGGUACCAUCAUUGUUGGCAACAAUUUUUGCUGGUGGUGGUUACGACAAGGAAGUUGGGAACAAUGAUGUGGCUGAGGGCUUUGCAGAUCUUAUUGCUUAUGGUCCUUGGAUCUUGGCUAACCCAAACUUUUUUACUUUAUGUUUAUUCAGCUUUAAUUCUGAGGGUAUUUAAGUCUAUUUAAGUGGAUUUUCUGUUAUUUUUGAAAGAUUUUAUAAAAAAUGACAUUUAUGAAAUUGAGUGUUAAAUUUUGGCUAUUAUUGAUAAAAACUCAAUAAAAAUUAUCCCGUAAGUAUACAAGAUUAAGUUUAAGACGUCUUAAUAAUCAGAAGAUGCCUUUAUACAUUAUCCUUUCAUCAAUCAUGUUACAUGACAAAAAAAUGAGGUGUUGACUUAUAAGAACUAGCUAAAGGUAGCAUAUUCCUUUCUUUCUUUGUGGUUUCAACCUAUCCUUGCCCUCCUUACUAAAUCAUGUAACACAAAUGCUAUUCACACAUCCCAUUUUAUUUCUCACACAAAUCUUGAUAAUUUAUGUCUGUUGAUCUUCUUCAAUUCAUUUAAUCUGAUGGUCGAAAAUUAAAAGAGUAUGUAGGAAGUAAAAUGGAAUGUGUGGAUAUCACACCCCUAAAUUAAUUGCGACAAAAUAGAUUUUCAAAUACUUUUAUACAUUUGAGUUUGAGCUCUAUUUUUAUCAAUUACUUUAAUAAGUUGGCGACUACAUGAUGGGAGGAGGCAUGCGUUGAUGCUUAUAGUUGGCGACUACAUGAGAAGAAGAGGGAUUCUCUGAACAUAUUAAAAACCUUAAAUGCAUUAAUAAGUUAAAUUAAACCACCACAGAAACAAGAAAGUUCAAAAAGAGAGAGCAUAUUAUAAACAGAUCAAGGCAUGCAAAAAAAUACACUCUAUCUGCAAACUAGCUGAUUAAACCAGAAAGUUUCCUAGCUUACAUAGUCGUCGUCGUCUUGGGCCUCCUCAUCAUCACCCUCUUCAUUAUCAUCCGCAACUUCUUGGUCCUGAUCAUCGUCUUAUUCCGCCUCGUCCUCAUCAACACCCUCAUCAUUAGCAUCAGCACAUUGUUGGUCCUCAUCAUCGUCUUGUUCCUCUUCCUCCUCAAAAUCCUCCUCAUCAUCCCCAUCAAAAUCCUCAUCGUGUUGUCAUCAUCCUCAUCAAAAUCAUCAUCUUCAUAAUCCUCGUCAAAAUCAUCGACUUCGGUAGAAAUUUCUUGUAAGGCCCGUUCGUAAGGGAUAUAAUGGUAAUCAAAAAACGAACCUUUGAAAGUCAUAAGUUUGUCGCAUACUAAACGUACCCCUAUUUUCUUCACCGGACAAUGUGCAAUAACAUGGACCAAAUCGCUUUCUUCCAAAUUGAACUCGAUUUCCGACAACGAUAAAUUUGCCAGCCAAAUGAUCUCUUCAAAGAAAAAAAAUCUCCUAGUUCAACACAAAAACUAGUACCCUUGGUGUGAUUAAUAACAUAAAUAUAACUCGGCCUGAUGUAAUCACGAGGAACAAAAGCCAGGCACACAGCCAAUGCUUUUGCAUUAGAACCAAUUUCCUUAGGCACUUCAAAAGAGACUUGGGUACCCUCGUUUACAUGAUUGAACCAAGUGGGAAUUUGUCUUCCUACAAAACUCAUGGUUCCACCUCCUGUCCAUCCCUAUACCAUGUGGAACAAGAUUUGUGUGAGUACUACAUACAUAACACACAUAUUUGUGAGGGGGGAAGAGAGGGGGGUGGUGUGGAAGAGAGAGAGUACCUGUAUCGUGCUAUCCUUAAGAAGGAAAUCCAUGACAUUGUUGUGUGUUGUCAUAUAAAGAUUGAGUCCCGAGUUUAACGCGCUAUCCAAGCCUGGAAACUCAAUGAGUUUCGGGGAAAAAAGAAUCACUGCUGUCGACAUGCCUGAAAAAUCUGGCAUUCUUUCUAAUACAGAGCAGUCGUCCAUGUGCAGGAAACCCAAACUUUUUGGUAAAUCUGUAAUCUCAACAAGGUUUCUGCAACCAUUCAAGGAUAAUACAAGAAGCUUGGAGAGGCCACUGAGGCUUGGAAGGCUCCCAAAAUUAUUGUCAUCUAGACUUAACUCCACUAAACAAGGUAGACUACUCCCAAUAUCAUUAGGCACUUCCUCUAUAUUGCUGUCCUCCAAAAUUAAGCUUGUCAAAGAGCGUAAACCUUGUAAGGAAGGUAGCUGCAAAGAACACUUCAAUUUACUCAAAGAUAUGCGCUCGAGCUUCUCUAGUCGUACGAUGGAAGGUGGUACUUUUUUUAUGGCCGUCCCAUCUGCAUAAAGAGUGACCAAUGAUGCCAUUUCUCCCAAGUGCUCAGACAAGCUUUGGAAUCUUGAACAACCAUCGAGAACAAGAGUUUUGACAGAUUUCAACUUGUAGAAACUCCUCGGAAGAGCCUUAAGCGUUUCACAGUCCUUCAAAUUCACCAACACAAGACUCUUGAGAUCUCCGAUGGACUUGUGAACUUUAGCCAACCUCUUACAGUCUUUGAGUAUCAAUUUCUCAAGAUUUGGGAAUUUCGAAAAGUUUGGCGAUUGUGUUAGAUCGUGGGAGUGGCUGAGAUUCAGAAUCUUCAACUUAUCAAGCAACUGUUAAGAAAAAUCAAGUUGAAAUAAAAAAUUUAAAUCCAAAAAGAAGAUACAAAAAACAUAAAAAUAAUUCCAAAUUUGGUUCAGGUUACGCAUUGUACUUACCCCAGAAUACCCACAAAGAACUUGUCUGAGGCUGCUGUACUGCAUGUCGAUAACAACUGUGUUUGGUUGACAAAGUUCUAUUGGUAUGAACUCCAAUGGGAAUCCAUGCCAGCACAACCAUCUUAAUUUUUUGGAAAGAUAUUGGUAUUGCCCAGUGAGCCGAACGUAGUUUAGUUGGAGCAAUCUCAGUCUCUUCAUAUUUCUAAACGCCUCAGUACUGAAACUAGUCUCUUCAGGACUUGGCAAAUUCAAAGCCAGACCUUCAAUUUUUUCAGUUCCCUGCUAUCCGAAAAAACAGACUCCAAAUAAGAGAAGGCUUUGCAUGAAAAAAAGUAUAUUACUAACUUACAUAUGCUUACACAUUUAACAUAAAGUUUGAUUGGGAAAGUACUUACAAAUUUGUCUAUCAAUACAUCAUUUACAUCUUCAGGAUGCCACAAUCUACUCCGUUCUAUAGGGAAAUCAGGAUUUUCUGCAUGCACGAUAUCUCUGCCCAUAUCCCGAAGCAAAUCAUGCAUCAUAAUCUUGUUUUCUCUAUUAAUAGUUACAAGGCACCGGUCAAGGAGGACCUUGAUUCCUGUUGUUGCAUAAAAGCCACAACCAUCCAAGAUUUGUAUGACAUCGUUCUUGUUCAUUCCGAUAAAAAAACAAGCUAUAUCGAGGAAUAUCCGCCUUUUGUAAUUAUCAUUUAGCCUGUUGUAGCUUAUUUUCAGUUGUGCCUGAAUUUCUGCACGAGGAAUUAUUUUCAAUUCAUCCAAUAUACUUCUCCAUUCAUCUACGCUUCGUUUGAAAAGAGUAGAUCCUAAAACUUCAAGAGCCAGCGGCAAUCCUCCACAGUAAUUGACAACUUCUCUUUCGAGCGCAAGAUAUUGACUAGGACAACUACUACUUCUGAAAGCAUGCCAACUUAGGAGCUCAAGAGCUUCUUCUCGGUCCAUUACUUUCGCCUGAUAUAUCUUAUCAACUGCAAAUUCUUUUAGCACACUUUCGUUUCUAGUUGUGAUGAUGAUUCUGCUCCCCGGGCCAAAAAAGUGGCAAUUUCCAACUAAUUCGCGUAAUUGCUUCACAUCGUCUACAUCAUCAACUAUGACAAGUACCUUUAAGCGUCGAAAUCUUUCCCUUACCAAGGCGGUCCCUGCAGCAACACUACUUACCUUUGUCUUGGUUUGCAAGAUAUCAAAAAGAAGUUGUUUUUGCAAUUUUUCUAGUUUCUUUUCCCUCACUUUUUCAAGGAAACUUUUACCUUCAAACCUUUCAUAAAAUUCGUUAUAAAUGGCUUUAGCAAUUGUUGUUUUACCUAUUCCACCCAUGCCUGAAAUUCCAAUCACACGAACAUCAUCUGAAUCUCCGAUGCCUAAAUAAUUACUGAUAUCUAGCACUCGAGUAUCUAUUCCGACUUGAUAGAGCGCUACGUCAAAGUAUUUGUUGUUCAACUUCGUAGUGACGUCAUUGGUAAUCAUCCUGAUAAACUUUGCUUCAUGCCUGGCAUUAGUCAAGUUGAGAAGCAAAACGAAGAUUGUUAUACAACGAAAUCGAACUAAUUAAUACACAAAAUUAUUUAUCAUGACUAGAGAUUUUAAUUAAGACAAUUUUUUUUGAGGUGGUGUGUUUAAACUUAGCAAACAUCAAUUAAAAUUAAAAUAAAGAAACACAAACAAAAAAACCAGCAUCCCUUCCCUCCGCAGCCAAUCGCCGGCAGCUUCCCAGCUGUGAUUAGUGUAGCCUUAACAGUUUAAGCUUUAUUGUAUGAUUUUAUUACAGAGGUCUAAGAAAUCGUAUGAUUCCAAAUUAAUAAGCAAAGGUACGUUAAAGCCUUAAUUCAUAAGAAAAGAAAUUAGAAAGUACCCGUCUAAAGUGUUUCUGAGAUCCCAGCCAGACAAAUUCGAAGCUUCAGUAAGAGCAGCUCUCCACCUCUCUACCUUUUUUCAUCUGUAUGUUUCAGAAACGAUUGUGCAAAACUACAAGUCUGUUUCCUAACAUGCGAAGGAUCAACGUCAUAGAAUAUUGGCAAAACUAAUUGCCCUAGCGUUCUUCUACACUCCAUGAUCUUAACCAGCUCCUCGAGACACCAGCUGGAGUCCGAGUACCGUCUUGAGAAGACGAUGAUAGAGAUCCUAGAACCCUGGAUUGCAUGCACAAGUUCGGUAGUUAUAUCUUCUCCUCUUCUUAGUUCGUCGUCAAUAAAGGUGUUGAUUCCGGCCUUUGUCAAUGCUUCGUGGAGGUGGCCCACGAAGUUUUUACGUGUGUCUUCACCUCUGAAGCUUAUGAACACUUCGUAGAGCAAGCCUUUUGAGAAGGAAGACAUGGAUGGGGAGGUGGAGGCGGAUGAUGAGGAUGAGAUUGAGGGUGAGGAGGUGGAGGAGGACGAUGAGGAGGAGGUGGAGGAGGACGAUGAGGAUGAGGGCGAGGAGGAGGAUGAGGACGAGGUUUUAUCGGGGACGGAGAUAUUCAUUUAGCGAAAGACGAGGCCUAGGGAGUAGAGGAGGAAGAUGAGGACAUCAUAGACAAGAUCGGAAUUGCGAGCCGUAAAGUGGUUGGACACUAACACCAGCACCAAAGUUAACAGCUUCCCUAAGCUCGACCAGGUAUCCAUUUCCUUCAUUUUCUUUAUGCAAAUUGAAGGUUUUUGGCUAUAUUGAUUUUCUU
rnacentral:lncRNA from 1 species